GCGAAAUGAUGAAAAAAAUUCAUUGCUCAAUCCACUGAAUUUUGUGAUGUUACUCUUGAAUCUCGACAGAUUCUGAUCGC